UACGAAGGGAGCUAGCGUUGUUCGGAAUCACUGGGCGUAAAGCGCACGUAGGCGGAUUUGCCAGUCAGGGGUGAAAUCCCGGGGCUCAACCCCGGAACUGCCUUUGAUACAGCAAGUCUUGAGUUCGAGAGAGGUGGGUGGAAUUCCUAGUGUAGAGGUGAAAUUCGUAGAUAUUAGGAAGAACACCGGUGGCGAAGGCGGCCCACUGGCUCGACACUGACGCUGAGGUGCGAAAGCGUGGGGAGCAAACAGG
rnacentral:rRNA from 1 species